rnacentral:tRNA from 1 species
GCGCCGGUGGUGUACGGCGUAGCAUCGCCGCCCGGAAAGCGGAAAGUGCGGGUUCGAGUCCCGCCUGGCGCA